rnacentral:rRNA from 1 species
AACUAACGCUGGCGGCGUGCCUAACACAUGCAAGUCGUACGAGAAAGUUGGCUUCGGCCGAUGAGUACAGUGGCGCACGGGUGAGUAACGCGUGGAUAAUCUGCCCUUAAGUGUGGAAUAACGUACCGAAGGGUGCGCUAAUACCGCAUAAUGCCUGGCAACAUAAGUUGUCCGGCCAAAGAAGGCCUCUGCUUGCAAGCUUUCGCUAAAGGAUGAGUCCGCGUACCAUUAGCUAGUUGGUGGGGUAACGGCCUACCAAGGCGACGAUGGUUAGCUGGUCUGAGAGGAUGAUCAGUCACACUGGAACUGAGACACGGUCCAGACUCCUACGGGAGCAGCAGUGAGGAAUAUUGCGCAAUGGGGGCAACCCUGACGCAGCAACGCCGCGUGAGUGAGGAAGGUUUUCGGACUGUAAAGCUCUGUCGAGCGGGAAGAAGUGUACCAUGGCUAAUAUCCAUGAUAUUUGACGGUACCGCUAGAA